rnacentral:lncRNA from 1 species
GGAGCGCGCAUUAAGCGAUGCGGAGCACUCAAUGUGUUGUUAGCCUCUCUUUAGAGCGUAAGAGUGCUUUAAGUGCGCCUUUGAUAACACUGAUCACUUAGCAAGUUAGCACUUAAUAAGCGAACAGUAAUCGUAUGGAGCUGGAUAUAAAAGGCAGAAGAAUAGUGAGUAGCGAUAAAUUAAAUGAACCUCACCUAAAAGUUAGACUAUGCAAGAAAAGUG